rnacentral:rRNA from 1 species
CCCUUAGAUGUCCUGGGCUGCACGCGCGCUACACUGAUGUGUCCAGUAAGCACCUAACCUCUUCCGAAAGGAACGGGUAACCUUUGCAAAGCACAUCGUGAUGGGGAUAGAUUAUUGCAAUUAUUAGUCUUGAACGAGGAAUUCCUAGUAAGCACAAGUCAUCAGCUUGUGUUGAUUACGUACCUGCCCUUUGUACACACCGCCCGUCGCUCCUACCGAUUGAAUGUUCCGGUGAGCUCUUCGGACUGCGCGGUCUGCAGUUUCUGCGUUCCGUGCGGAAAGUUGCGCAAACCUUAACAUUUAGAGGAAGGAGAAGUCGUAACA